AAGGAGUGAGCGCAUGCGCCGCCCGCAGGAUCCGGCGUUCCGUUUGAGAGGUGGCUACGGACUCAGUGGCUGCGACUGGGGCGUUGCGGGGCGGGGUGGAAGGACGUGACCGCAGAGAGGGUGCCAUCGUUGCUCUGCAAUGCAAAGAUCUGAACAAGGGGAAAUGCAUGUCCUUCAAAGAGAAAACUAAGUCCUAAAGAAAGAAGCAAAUGGGUGAAAUAUUGUCAGGAUCGUAGUAGCCACUGACCUAGGAUGGAAGCCAGCUACUGGGAGAAUAUUUCAAAAUGGCAAGUUCAACUUUCAAAGAGAAGAUGCUUCUCUCACUUCUUUCCACCUCACUGAUGCUGAGUAGCCAGAAACACUGGAGCUAUAAUCCUUGCUGACUCUUGAUGAUAACCUUAAAGUCUUACCAGUUAUAUGAUCUUGCCCUCCCCUCUAUCUUAAUAAAAGUAAAUCUAUGGUCACACUUGAAA